UACGUAGGGACCAAGCGUUGUCCGGAAUCAUUGGGCGUAAAGAGCGUGUAGGCGGCUUGUUAAGUCUUGCGUGAAAUCUCGGGGCUCAACCCCGAGCGGUCGUGAGAAACUGGCAGGCUAGAGUGCGGGAGAGGAGAGUGGAAUUCCUGGUGUAGCGGUGAAAUGCGCAGAUAUCAGGAAGAACGCCCGUGGCGAAGGCGGCUCUCUGGAACGCAACUGACGCUGAGGAGCGAAAGUGUGGGGAGCGAACAGG
rnacentral:rRNA from 1 species